AAUAAUAACAAUAAUAAUAAUAAUGAUUUUGAACAUUAUUAUUAUGCAUAGUAACAUUAAUGCACUAAGUUGGGGGGGGGGGGUGCUGUCGCGCGAGGCGGGGGGUCGCGAAAACAGUCUCAAGUCCAAAAGGGGGUCCCCUGAAAAAAAGUUUGGGAACCACUGUGUUAAGUGAAUAUCUUGAUUGUUGAGGGGCUGAGUGUUCGUUAUGAAUGAUCUGUUGUGAGUUUGAUCUUCGGUCCAGCCCGCGGGGCUUUUUAAAGCAACGGCGCCAUCUCGUGGAGGGCAAGUGGAAAACAGUUUUUUUCUGGUAAUUAUUAUAAUCACUCAGCCUUUGAGGAGAAGGAGAAGAAGGAGGAGACGGAGAAGAAGGAGGAGAGAUAGCCUUGGGAAAGGGUGGCCUAGUGGUGAAGGUCAAAGGUCACAGUGGGUGUGCAGUGAUGUGGUGCCGUGUCCGGUCCAGGGUGUCAUGGCGAUUCGCCCGCGGUGUCAUCACCUCUGACGACCGCCUGUUCUCCCGCCUGGAGGUCCCGGGGCUGGACCGCGUGGUCCUAGAGCCCGCCUCCGAGCACCACGCAGGUACGUACCGCUGUGACGUGCAGGACUGGGCCCACCGCCGGGGGAAGCGGGCAUACUGGGGGGUGAGGGUCCUACCCCAGGGGGUGGUGGACCUGGACUACCCCGGUUCCCCGGCCCCCGGGCCCCAGAACCCAGACCGGAUCCAACUGUUCCUCACCUGCACUGUGCCCUACAUGGUGCUGGUGGGUCUGGGGGUGUCCACCGGUCUGGCAGGUCUGACCGUGAUGGGGCUCUACCGGGUCCUGGUCCGGGGUGGGGGGAUUAGCGGGAGCCAGGAGAACCAGGAGAUGGAGCCGCGGAGAGACAGAAAGACCCGGAGGUCUGACUUUGAGCGUUCCGGUGCUUGUCUGUCUGAGGUCGAAUCAUAACCGGACUGAGUCUGAUUAAACAAACUGAAAUACGCUGGCUCUUUGGUUCUACUAUCUGGUGAGUGAUGUGGAUGGCUCUACUUAUUAAGUGUUUCUUUUUUUGAGGAAAUACAUUUUUUGGGGCAUUUGAACCUUUAACAAAUCGUAGGAAGACGUCUCCUCCUGCGUCACCUCCUUUUUCUAUAUCAAAGAAGACGGCGGUAGCUGCAGUUGCAUGAUUG
rnacentral:lncRNA from 1 species